CAAGAACUGAGUUUGCUGCAGACCUGUUGGAUUCACUGCUGCUAACAGGAUGAAACCUCUGGGUGACAGGAGAUACAAGACAGUGAUGCCUCCCAUUCACUUUCCAUCUGUAAAACCUUUCCUGCAGAAACACAAGCCUUAUGUCUAUCCCACAAAGGUGACCGUCCUAUGCUUUGUCUAUCAUGGUUUGUUGCUGCUCUUUCUACCAGCGCUAAUUUUUCCAGCCCUGGGGUAAUCUAAGACAUUUGUUUUCACAUUUAGUGCUUCCGAAUAAUUGAAGAAAAAGUACUAGUGGAAUCACUCUGAGCUUGGAGAGCUCCAGACAUCUUUAAUUGGCACAACUUUUGCAGGCAAAGUGAUAGAAAUUAAACUGACUGCUAACUAUCUGCAUUUCUUUUCUAUGCUGCAAUCAAGAAAAAAGAUGCGACCUUCUUCUCAAUCCACACAGAAAUGAAAUCUAUUCCAAUUUUCAUUUUAAGCACAAUAUUGACAAAUUUAUUCUGAUAUAUUUAAUGUUGUACUUAUGGUUUCCCCCUGCUUUUCUAAGGGGACAGAUUUUAAAAUGAGUAACUCUUGGGACACUACCAACAUUUGUCAAUCUCUUCAAAUGAACCCUUCUCAUAUAUUAUAAUACAAGCAAAACCACUACUUGAGGAAAUAAAUUGCUCCCUGACUUGAAAGAGAAAUUAAGGAAUGUAGAGUUUUCCGCCAUCUACAGAAUGUCUAUACCAUUUGCUCACCUCAAGUUAACUCUCACCUCUAGGAUCAGGCACCAGCAGGGUGAUGUGGAGAAAUUUUUUUCUUCGUACUUUAAUCAGAGAAAGAGAACAUAAGUACUUGAAGAUUCAUAAUAUUAACAGUCUCAUUAGAGUUUCUUAAAUGCUGUUUUAAAUUAGGAUAAUUUUAAAUUAUGUGAUGUAACAACUAUAUAAACAUAAAAUGCUUUAAUUAGAGACUUGUUUGUGUGAGAAAGAAAAAAAAAUCCACUUGAAGCAUCAAUCUGGCACUCUGCAUUAACUUCCAACAGCCACAAAUUCCCACUGGACCACUGAACCUAAGCAAUAAGGCUAUAUCCAUCAUCCUGUCUCUAAAAUUUAAUCUUCACUUGUUUGUAGCCAGG
rnacentral:lncRNA from 10 species